rnacentral:rRNA from 1 species
GACGAACGCUGGCGGCGUGCUUAACACAUGCAAGUCGAGCGGUAAGGCCCUUUCGGGGGUACACGAGCGGCGAACGGGUGAGUAACACGUGGGUGACCUGCCCUCAGCUCUGGAUAAGCCUGGGAAACCGGGUCUAAUACCGGAUAUGACUCCAUGACGCAUGUUGUGGGGUGGAAAGCCUUGUGCGGCUGAGGAUGGGCCCGCGGCCUAUCAGCUUGUUGGUGGGGUGAUGGCCUACCAAGGCGACGACGGGUAGCCGGCCUGAGAGGGCGACCGGCCACACUGGGACUGAGACACGGCCCAGACUCCUACGGGAGGCAGCAGUGGGGAAUCUUGCGCAAUGGGCGAAAGCCUGACGCAGCGACGCCGCGUGAGGGAUGACGG